AUGGCGGAGGCUGACACGCUGGAUGAGUUCGCCGGCAAACUCGGUGGUAUGGCGACGCGCUUCCCCGGGCUCGGGUCGACACUGGAAGAUGCCGCGUUGGUGAAGAAACUGCUCGACUCCGUGCCGAAUCGCUUGUACGCGGCGGUGGUCGGAAUCGAGCAGUUCUGCGACGUGUCCACCAUGGCGUUUGAGGAGGCGCUGGGUCGCUUGAAUGCCUUCGACGAGUGGCUACGGCGAGGCGGACAAGCGGGCGGCGAGCAUGCGGACGGCCAGCUCAUGUACACGGCAGGGCACUGGAAGGCGCGGGAGCGGCAG
rnacentral:rRNA from 1 species